UACGUAGGGUGCGAGCGUUAAUCGGAAUUACUGGGCGUAAAGCGUGCGCAGGCGGUUCGUUAAGUCAGAUGUGAAAGCCCCGGGCUCAACCUGGGAACUGCAUUUGAAACUGGCGGGCUUGAGUGUGGCAGAGGGGGGUGGAAUUCCGCGUGUAGCAGUGAAAUGCGUAGAGAUGCGGAGGAACACCGAUGGCGAAGGCAGCCCCCUGGGCCAGCACUGACGCUCAGGCACGAAAGCGUGGGGAGCAAACAGG
rnacentral:rRNA from 1 species